rnacentral:rRNA from 1 species
UACGUAGGGCGCAAGCGUUAUCCGGAAUUAUUGGGCGUAAAGAGCUCGUAGGCGGUUUGUCGCGUCUGCUGUGAAAGACCGGGGCUCAACUCCGGUUCUGCAGUGGGUACGGGCAGACUAGAGUGCAGUAGGGGAGACUGGAAUUCCUGGUGUAGCGGUGAAAUGCGCAGAUAUCAGGAGGAACACCGAUGGCGAAGGCAGGUCUCUGGGCUGUAACUGACGCUGAGGAGCGAAAGCGUGGGGAGCGAACAGG